rnacentral:rRNA from 1 species
UACAGAGGGUGCAAGCGUUAUUCGGAUUCACUGGGCGUAAAGGGUGCGCAGGCGGUCGGGUGUGUCAGAUGUGAAAUCCCGAGGCUCAACCUCGGAACUGCGUCUGAAACUACUCGACUAGAGUACUGGAGAGGGUAACGGAAUUCACGGUGUAGCAGUGAAAUGCGUAGAUAUCGUGAGGAACACCAGAGGCGAAGGCGGUUACCUGGACAGUUACUGACGCUCAGGCACGAAAGCAUGGGGAGCAAAAGGG